UACGUAGGGGGCAAGCGUUGUCCGGAUUUAUUGGGCGUAAAGAGCGUGUAGGCGGCCUGAAAGGUCAGCUGUGAAAACUCGAGGCUCAACCUCGAGACGUCGGUUGAAACCAUCUGGCUAGAGUCCGGAAAGAGGAGUGUGGAAUUCCCGGUGUAGCGGUGAAAUGCGCAGAUAUCGGGAAGAACACCCGUGGCGAAGGCGGCACUCUGGGACGGUACUGACGCUGAAACGCGAAAGCGAUGGGGAGCGAACGAGG
rnacentral:rRNA from 1 species